GACCUGGCUCAGGAUGAACGCUAGCUACAGGCUUAACACAUGCAAGUCGAGGGGCAGCAUGGUCUUAGCUUGCUAAGGCCGAUGGCGACCGGCGCACGGGUGAGUAACACGUAUCCAACCUGCCGUCUACUCUUGGACAGCCUUCUGAAAGGAAGAUUAAUACAAGAUGGCAUCAUGAGUCCGCAUGUUCACAUGAUUAAAGGUAUUCCGGGUAGACGAUGGGGAUGCG
rnacentral:rRNA from 1 species